AAGCGGGGGAUCUUCGGACCUCGCGCUAACAGAUGAGCCUGCGUUGGAUUAGCUAGUUGGUAGGGUAAAGGCCUACCAAGGCGACGAUCCAUAGCUGGUCUGAGAGGACGAUCAGCCACACUGGGACUGAGACACGGCCCAGACUCCUACGGGAGGCAGCAGUGGGGAAUAUUGGACAAUGGGCGCAAGCCUGAUCCAGCAAUACCGCGUGUGUGAAGAAGGCCUGAGGGUUGUAAAGCACUUUUAAUCGGGAGGAACACCUGUCAGCGAAUACCUGGCAGUCUGACAUUACCGAUAGAAAAAGCACCGGCUAACUCCGUGCCAGCAGCCGCGGUAAU
rnacentral:rRNA from 1 species